rnacentral:sRNA from 1 species
CUUUAACAAUCCGGAACAAGCUGAAAAUUUGAAACGACGCAUUGUCGUGUUCCUCCGUAAUAAGGAACACAGCACAACGCGUUCGAGUCUCUCAAAAGCUUACAGCUUACAAGCUAACUGUGAAGCCGUUAC